UUUUUGCCUCUUGGCCACCAUUCCCAGUUCCCCUCCCUCUCUCCUCACAUGACCGGGCUCAAUCUGCUGGUCAUGUCCACUCUGAACUCUGCAGAUGUCUCUGCCUUUGCCUGUUCUGUCCCUUUUAUCUACACUCAGCCUUCUCCACCACGCAGGGGCAGUCAUGUCCUCCUUUUGUUUCUUUUUGUCCUUCACACUUGAUGACUACGUUCCCAGCCGCUGAAGUGGGCAUAGAAGUCCCUUAGUGAAGCCAGAGCCUUGGGACCCAGUCCUCGCCCCACCCCCCUCCAUGCACAGGCCCCUUCCUAAAUUCUAGGAUUGCUAACUCCAAGGCCACCUGGUCUCUUCUCCAGCCCUGGGGAAGGAAGAGGGAAAAAAAAAAUUAGUAAACCACGGUCAAUGUGUUUGGCCCUGGGGCAGAGUUCUUUACCUAGCUGACCACCUCCCACAGGGAGGGGAAGCCUUGGGGGUUCAGUGGCUCCUGGUUUACCUCCAGCCCACACAAACACCAUAUACCCCCUGGGCAGGUAUGUAAGAAGCCCCCAGUGACAAUGAGGGACCCCCCAGAGCCUGCCUGCUCCACCCACUCACAUCCCCUCAAGGUAGAAAAGCAGCCAGAGAAGCUUGAGCUUCAGAGACUGAAGCAGGAGCCAGGCAGCGAUUUCCCUCAAUCUGCUCCUCUGCCCGGCCAUGGGGACUUUCAAUCUGUGGACAGAUUACCUGGGUCUAGCAAGCCUGGUUGGGGCUCUGCAUGAGGAAGAAGAGCCUGAUGUCAGGCUGGAGCCCAAACCAGAGCCCAAGCCAGGCCCAGAAAGCCAGAAGGCCAGCAAGGAAUCCUCAGCAGCUCCUGAACGCCUGUGCUCCUUCUGCAAGCACAACGGGGAGUCCCGUGCCAUCUACCAAUCCCACGUCCUGAAGGAUGAGGCUGGCCGGGUGCUGUGUCCCAUUUUGAGGGAUUAUGUGUGUCCCCAGUGUGGGGCCACUCAGGAGCAUGCCCACACUCGACGCUUCUGCCCACUCACCGGCCAGGGCUACACUUCUGUCUACUGCUACACCACCCGGAAUUCUGCAGGCAAAAAGCUGACCCGGCCGGACAAGGCAAAGUCGCAGGAUGCUGGCCACCGCCCUGGAGGAGAAACAGCAGCAGGUGUCUAUGCAGGUGGUGUAGGGACUGGGUGGAGAAGGGACCCAUUUUAGGCUCUCAGCUCUUUGGGGUGUUUACGUGUGUGUGAUGCCAGUAUCUUGCAAGCUAAGCAACCAGUUGUGUAGAACUGACAGCAUUCUUCAAGUGUGGCUCAGGAGUGUGGGGUGUAUGUUGCUGUGUGGUGGAGCAUGGCUCGGGAGUGUGGGGUGUAUGUUGUUGUGUGGUCUUUCACAAGUCACUCUCCUGCUAGGUGGUGAUGGCACACACCUUUAAUCCCAGCGCUGGGGAAGCAGAGGCAGGUGGGUCCCUGUGAGUUCAAGGCCAGUCUGGUCUAUGGAGCAAAGCUAUGCAGAGAAACCCUGCCUGGAAAAACAAAACAGAAAACAAAGUCACUCUCCCUCUGAACAACUCAGGCACGGGGUAGUCAGAUGUUCUAGGGUGUGGUGGUGAGUUCUGAUUUCUACUUGGGGAUCAGGAGUUGUGAAGAUUUGGGGAAGCUGGGGCUGGGCAGAUGGCUCAGUUGUUAAGAGCUCUUCCAAAGGUCCUAAGUUCUCUCACAACCAUCUGUAAUGAGAUCUGGUGCCCUCUUCUGGCCUGCAGGCAGAUACAAUACUGUAUACAUAAUAAAUAAAUCUUUUUUUAAAAAAAAAAAAAAGAUUGGGAGAAGCUGCUAAACCCUUCCUGAACCCAGACAUCAUUUGUUCAUUUGCCAAAUAAUACUUUCACGCCUGGAACGGGGAGCACUUGGUUCAGAAGAAGGGGUGCCACCCAGGACUUCCUGGAGAAGGUGACUUCUAGGAGUCUUAAUUCCUUCAUUUCUGGUGUUGGAGGUGGGAGGUGUGGCCUGGGCUUCUUGGAAACUUUUAUCAUACAGUCCGUGUGACUGGGUAUGUGCUGUGGGGUGGCUAGAGAUAAUUGGAUCUUUGGGGUGUCACUUAAGGGAGUUUGAAGUUAGGGCUCAUGCAUAGUGUUUAAGAGACCCUGAGUUUGCUCUGCAUUCAGAAACAUAAAAAGUUUGGGGUGCCAUGCCAACAUGAAGACUCAGUGGGUAAAGAUUUCCUGUAAUGCUGAUCUCUGAGGUCCGUACAGGAGGAGAUUUCCUUCAAGUGUCCUCUGACCUCCACACCACAAACACAGCAAGGAGGCUUCUCAGAAGGGUUCCAGAGCCCCAUGGCUGUCAUGGACCUGAAGACUCUGCUCCAAGCCAGCAGGGUUCCAAAAGUGGCAGGAAGCCCUCUGGACCUUCACCCUCGGCCUGCAAUCCCUCCACUAUGGCCUAGGAGCUUGGAGUGGGGAGGACCAUGGGGUACCCU